rnacentral:rRNA from 1 species
CCUACGGGAGGCAGCAGUGGGGAAUAUUGCGCAAUGGGCGAAAGCCUGACGCAGCGACGCCGCGUGAGGGAUGAAGGUCUUCGGAUCGUAAACCUCUGUCAGCAGGGAAGAACGGUAACUGUGCUAAUCAGCAGUGAAUUGACGGUACCUGCAAAGGAAGCACCGGCUAACUCCGUGCAAGCAGCCGCGGUAAUACGGAGGGGGCGAGCGGUAAUCGGAAUUACUGGGCGUAAAGCGCUCGUAGGCGGGAUGGCAAGUCACGGGGGAAAUCCCCGCGCUCAACGUGGGAACUGCCGUUGAAACUGGCAAACUGGAGUGUGGGAGAGGAAAGUGGAAUUCCAGGUGUAGGAGUGAAAUCCGUAGAGAUCUGGAGGAACAUCAGUGGCGAAGGCGACUAUCUGGCACAUAACUGACGCUGAGGAGCGAAAGCGUGGGUAGCAAACAGGAUUAGAUACCCUGGUAGUC